AGGAAGCUGACUUUAUUCAGUGUUACAUGAUUCUGUUUCUUUCUUAUACAUAACCACUAAGGGAAAAAAAUAAGAUAAAAGGAUAAAGAAAAGCUCUAGACUGGUGAAUGAAAUCCUGUUUUCCUUUUGUUUGCUCCGGGGUUGGUCAGUAAGGGUAGAGAAAUAAUCAUCUUUAUGUGUGGCUAUGCUUCAACUGGGUGAGGAGGUUGAGAUCUGUAAAAUGAAGGUUCAGGAUGCCUAGACAGAUGAUUUGGAAAAAGGCCUCUGUGACAUAGGUCCCUACUGACACUGUCUGUACAAGUAGUAAGACACCAAGGCAGAAGGAUUUGUUUACAUCUAGAAGAUGAAUGCUGGAUUAACUUUUUUGAUGGGAAAAGAGCAUACCAUUUCAGGAAUCCCACUGUCCUGGUCUGUGGCACUCUGGCACUUUGGUUUCAUGGUAUUUUCUGAAAUACAAUUGAAAGUGUGGAUUAUGUGAGGAUUAAUUUUCUU